rnacentral:rRNA from 1 species
GACGAACGCUGGCGGCGUGCUUAACACAUGCAAGUCGAACGGAAAGGCCCUGCUUUUGUGGGGUGCUCGAGUUGCGAACGGGUGAGUAACACGUGAGUAACCUGCCCUUGACUUUGGGAUAACUUCAUGCAACUGGGGCUAAUACCGGAUAGGAGCUCCUGCUUCAUGGUGGGGGUUGGUAAGUUUCGGCGGUUGGGGAUGUACUCGCGGCUUAUCAGCUUGUUGGUGGGGUAGUGGCUUACCAAGGCUUUGACGGGUAGCCGGCCUGAGAGGGUGACCGGCCACAUUAGGACUGAGAUAAGGCACAGACUCCUACGGGAGGCAGCAGAGGGGAAUAUUGGACAAUGGGAGGAAGCAUGAUGCAGCACCGCAGCGUGCGGGAUGACGGCCUUCGGGUUGUAAACCGCUUUCGCCUGUGACGAAGCGUGAGUGACGGUAAUGGGUAAAGAAGCACCGGCUAACUACGUG